ACAACGAUAAACGAUGUCGUUUAAUAUAUUUUGCCUUUGCUAUGUUCCUUUCGUAGACGGAGCAUCAAAGCUUCCCUGCUGGCUGCUGCGCAUCCUACCUCGCUAACCUUCGACUCUCUCUGUGACGGGCGGCUUGAUUUGCUUUGGAUAAUUCACGCAGCCUUGCAGGUGAACAAAGAGUUGCUCUUGUUAAUUUCGGAAGGUUCUUAUAUGCUUGUUGUGUGCUGGAAGCCCGGAAUUUGAAGUUGGAUUUUCAUCGUAUUCCCCUUUCACUGUAAUGGAUCCUAAUGGUUCUUCCGAUGAAAAGAGUGAAAGUAGAAUCUACAUUGGUAACCUUGAUCUGAGAAUAACGGAGGCUGCUCUAAUUAAGAUGUUUUCUCCGUUUGGGAAGAUUAUAACUGAGGACUUUCUGUGGCACACUCGUGGCCGAAAGCGCGGAGAGCCACGGGGUUUUGCUUUCAUCCAGUAUAGCAACAAAGAGUGAGCAUGCAGGAAGCAAGAUUGGCCAAGGAGAAGAUGCAUGGGAGACUAGCAUGUGGACGUCCGUUGGUUGUCCGUGUUUCCAGUGACAAGUACUUGGUAGAACCAGCAGACAAUUCUUCCAAAGGAGUGGGCGAGGCAACCAAAACAAGCGUUUCCGGCACUAGCUCAGGACAGACGAGCAGGAGCUCCAAAAUAGCAGCAAUCAAGAACAAAUUGAAGGCUCUGGAGGAGGAGGGCUUCAGCGCCAAGAAGCAGAAGCAAGAAGCCGACACGUCCAUCGACAGAAGGUAACAAACUAGGACGCUAAAAUCUGCUCAAUUUCAAGUUGUAAUCUUCCUAAACUUGGUCCAGUUGAACACAAUAGUGAUAACACAGUUGAUUCUGUUUCGGGUGAAACAUGAGAUGUAAUAAUACAAUAUGGCUAAAUUAACAGGUACAAAACUAUCCAGCUUCUGGAAUUAUUUUUGUUGAUUCAGCA